CGAAUGCUGACAUAAGUAACGAUAAAGCGGGUGAAAAGCCCGCUCGCCGGAAGACCAAGGGUUCCUGUCCAACGUUAAUCGGGGCAGGGUGAGUCGACCCCUAAGGCGAGGCCGAAAGGCGUAGUCGAUGGGAAACAGGUUAAUAUUCCUGUACUUGGUGUUACUGCGAAGGGGGGACGGAGAAGGCUAUGUUGGCCGGGCGACGGUUGUCCCGGUUUAAGCGUGUAGGCUGGUUUUCCAGGCAAAUCCGGAAAAUCAAGGCUGAGGCGUGAUGACGAGGCACUACGGUGCUGAAGCAACAAAUGCCCUG
rnacentral:rRNA from 1 species